rnacentral:lncRNA from 1 species
UUAAAGGAUUCUUAAGUACACCGACUUUUUUUUGGUCGAAGAAAAACGUGAGUUUUGUAAUAUUAAAUAUGAGUAUGCAAUAUUUAAAAGAUAGCACGGUUCUCCCAAAAAUGAACAUACCAGGACCUAUCCUCCUCAAUGGGAUAAAAUCUAGAACAAAGGUUAAUCGUAAAAGCGCUUUUUUUUCAUAAAUUAGGCCGUUAGUUUUCUCGUUAAAUUGUGUUAAAUUGUUAUUUCGGGUGUUAUAGUCUCAGUUUCGGGGCACCUUUUAGCUUACUAUGCGGUAUGGGCUUUGCUCAUUGUUGAAGGCCGUACGAUGAUAUAUAGUUGUUAAUUUAUGUGUCAUUUGGUCUCUUGUGGAGAGUAAUCUCAUUGUCAAUCAUACCUCAUUUUUUUUUUAUAUUCAACACUCUGUUUGGUGACGAGAAACUUGCUGAAGUUGCUGUUUAAAACAAUUUCACCCUGUUUUUCAUUUAAUAUGUGUGCUACAAUAUUCUACAUCUGAUCCUAAGGUUAAAGUUGACACAAUUUGUCUCUUUAUGCUUGCAUGUUUUAUUACAUGUAUUGCACAUGUAUGUUCUGUCUUUUACAUAAAGAUAAUGUUUAGGAAAUAAAGUGAUCCACAGCAAUAGACAUUCCAGUUUGUCUGUCACCGGAAAAAACUUGUCAAUUAUGCGCAUCUUUAUGACGUCAUUUACCAGAUUGAGGGGAUCGCCUGUAUCCCUGCACUAUAAAUGUCUUAGUGUCAGAUCAUUAUUGUACUGGAUACACUAGAAAUAUUAUUUGUUCUGUAGGUACUUAAUCACUAUUCCCUAAUGACAACAGUGCUGAAAGACAAUUAUAAGUAUUCAAUGUGCUUCGUGCAAUAUAGCUUUAUAGUUUUCCAACCACUUGCACAAUAUUGGAGCGGAAGUGAUGACGGCCCUAAUUGCACAAAUGAUGUUAACUAAAAAAAAAAGGUUUUUGACGGAAAUGCAUCGAACUCGAAAGUUGUCUAUUAUCAAUUAAUUUAUUUUUAUUUUAUCUUUUUUUUUCCAGAGUAAAUAAAAUUAGUUUUUAAUCAGUUGUCGUCAUUAAUGCAGGACAUAUGUUGAGGAAGGUUUUACAAAGGAUAACACAAGUGAUAAAAUCUGUUAAAAUGACUGAUAUUUCACCUAGUAGUGCAGCUGUUCAGCAGGUAAUUCAUAUACAUUUUGUAAUUUGGAAAUUAUGAUUUUAUGGCAUAAAAACUGUUACAAUUAUGACAAUUAUUGUUUGCAAUCAUAAUUUAUACAUAAAUGCCACUUUGAAUUAUAUCAAUAUGCAUGCACAGGAAAUACAAGCAUGACAAGAGAAGAGAUUGCAUGAUUGACUGUGAACAUUGGAAAUGCUGGUGUACUGGUAAAACCGUAUUUGAAAAUGACAGUUCAAAAACAUGAUCCAAUUGUUUUUUUAUUCAAACUUUUUUAAUACAAAGGAGGUUCAACAUAUCUUUAUGUGAACAGUUUUAUCAUGUUUAUUGCAUUGAAUGCAUUAUAAAUACAUUUUUGUUCCAAAGUCUGAAUUCAUAGGACUCAAGGGUUGUUUACAUGCUAUAUAUAUGAAGCAGGUCACCUGGUCACUUUUGAAUUAAUUUUAUGUUAGAUUUUUUAGUAUGGUAAAACAUUUUUAAAGGUCACAGGGCACAUAUUGUUUUAAAUGCGAUGUCAGGUCCCAACGUCCUCCUCCUAACCAACGUCCUCCUCAAAAGGUUGCUGGUUGGAUUUGGCCAUGUUGGAGCCAUAUUCAUACUACAUGUAGUUGUUUGUAUGUACAACAUGUACAAAUAAUACUGAAUACAUUUCUCAUAUUUAAGCAAAUAUAUAUGUAACACUUUUAUUUAUAAAUAUGUUUAUCUGAUUGUUUUUAUUUCAUAUAGGAUGACAAAGGAAACAAGAGACCCUUAGAUGGGGAACUUUCUGACCAGCAUAAAAAACAGAAGGUAAAUAGUUUGUUUAUUUGUGAGCAAAAAGAUACCAAAGAGAUAUGUCACCUCAUAUGAUGAAAAACAAACUGAUGUGCCACAUGGACAGAUGCCAUCGCAAAAAAAAACCCUAAAAUAAUAAAAAGACA